rnacentral:snRNA from 1 species
AUUGCUUCUCGGUCUUUCGGCUAAGACCAAGUAUAGUUAUCUGUCCUCAUCAAUUUGAUGUAUGCUACAUCCUCUAUCCAAGGACAAUAUAUUCAAUGAAUUUGUGGAGUAGGGAGUUGGAAUAGGAGCUUGCUCCAUCCACUCCACAUAUCAACCUGGUAUUUGCAGUACCUUCAGGAAUGGUGCACCAAAA